rnacentral:pre_miRNA from 14 species
UUAAGGGUGGUUUUGGGGGCUAUACCUGGCUUGAUUUCCCAAAUUAGACCUGAAAGACCCCUGGAGUGGGGAGACCCUCACUCAAGUCUUGGGAUGAUGCGAUCCCCCAAGAACUCACGUGAGACC